UACAGAGGCCCCAAGCGUUAUUCGGAUUUAUUGGGCGUAAAGGGUGCGUAGGUGGUUUUGUUAGUCGACUGUGAAAGAUCCGGGCUCAACCCGGGGAACGCAAUCGAAACGGCAAGACUUGAGGAGGUGAGAGGUGAAUGGAACUCAUGGAGGAGGGGUGAAAUCCGUUGAUAUCAUGGGGAACACCAAAUGCGAAGGCAAUUCACUGGCGCCGUCCUGACACUGAAGCACGAAAGCACGGGUAGCGAAU
rnacentral:rRNA from 1 species